rnacentral:rRNA from 1 species
UACGUAGGGGGCAAGCGUUGUCCGGAAUCAUUGGGCGUAAAGCGCGUGUAGGCGGCUCGGUAAGUCUGCUGUGAAAGUCCAGGGCUCAACCCUGGGAUGCCGGUCGAUACUGCCGGACUAGAGUUCGGAAGAGGCGAGUGGAAUUCCCGGUGUAGCGGUGAAAUGCGCAGAUAUCGGGAGGAACACCUAUGGCGAAGGCAGCUCGCUGGGACGUUACUGACGCUGAGACGCGAAAGCGUGGGGAGCAAACAGG